CGUUAGUCUAGAACACAGGCUCUGUGUCCUCUGGGUCCCUGCAAUUCUCUUUUGGGGUCAAUUUCUGCUCAUCUGUCAGCACGUUGAUUCAUCCGUAUUCCCAGUGAUGGACUGAGGUUGCUUCCAGUAUCCCUUCCCAUCAUACCUAUCACUGCAAUGAAGUGACCAAGUGGUUGUAUAUUGCACUCCACUUUACAAAUGAAAUAAAACACUGGGAGAAGACAUACAUAAGAGAAAAAGCAUUGCUCUCAGCUUUUACGCCACUUCCGAGUUUAUUUGGGACUCUGUCCUCUACCCAGACAUCGGUCAUUUGAGAUCCG